rnacentral:rRNA from 1 species
AUGAAUGCCAUAGCUUCGAACUGUCGCGGGCUUGGGAACCCGGAGACAGUUCGUGAGCUUCACAACCUUGUGAGGCUAGAAGCGCCCGCCCUUGUUUAUUUGUGUGAGACAAAGAUCAAGGGUGAUCGUGUGACUGAUCUAACAAAAAGACUUGGUUUUGAAGGAUGCUUUUCAGUUGAUUGUGUGGGCCUCAGUGGAGGUUUGGCACUGCUUUGGUCCAAAGGAGUAGAGGUUAAAGUGGAGACAAGGUCUGAUCAGCAUAUUGAUGCAAAAGUUACGAAUAUUGGGACCGAUAACAAGAGCUGGAGGUUUACGGGUUUCUAUGCGAAGGCAAAACGUAAGGAACGUUCAGCUAGUUGGGAAUUGUUAAGAUGGUUGCGGACCCAAAGUGACCUACGUGGCUGUGUGGAGGUGACAUGA